rnacentral:rRNA from 1 species
CAAUAGCGUAUAUUAAAGUUGUUGCAGUUAGAACGCUCGUAGUCGGAUUUCGGGGCGGGCCGACCGGUCUGCCGAUGGGUACGCACUGGUCGGCGCGUCCUUCCUUCCGGAGACCGUUCCUACUCUUAACUGAGCGGGGGCGGGAGACGGAUCGUUUACUUUGGAAAAAUCAGAGUGUUUCAAGCAGGCAGCUCGCUCUUGCAUGGAUUAGCAUGGGAUAAUGAAAUAGGACUUUGGUGCUAUUUUGUUGGUUUCGAACACCGAAGUAAUGAUUAAAAGGGACAGUCAGGGGCACUCGUAUUCCGCCGAGAGAGGUGAAAUUCUCAGACCAGCGGAAGACGAACUACUGCGAAAGCAUUUGCCAGGGAUGUUUUCACUGA